rnacentral:rRNA from 1 species
UACGAAGGGGGCUAGCGUUGCUCGGAAUUACUGGGCGUAAAGGGCGCGUAGGCGGACAGUUUAGUCAGAGGUGAAAGCCCAGGGCUCAACCUUGGAAUUGCCUUUGAUACUGGCUGUCUUGAGUUCGGGAGAGGUGAGUGGAAUGCCGAGUGUAGAGGUGAAAUUCGUAGAUAUUCGGCGGAACACCAGUGGCGAAGGCGCCUUGCUGGCCGAUUUCUGACGCUGAGGCGCGAAAGCGUGGGGGAGCAAACAGGG